rnacentral:rRNA from 1 species
AUACGCUGCGAUAAGCUACGGGGAGGUGCGAAUACCCUUUGAUCCGUAGAUUUCCGAAUGGGGAAACCCACCUAAGGUACUUGGAAAAUCAGAGUAGCAGAGUGAUCUGCUACUGUGGUUUCCAAGUAUCGAUAAUAGGUAACUUAUCCUGAAUACAUAGGGAUAAAGUGGCGAACGCGGGGAACUGAAACAUCUAAGUACCCGUAGGAAAGGACAUCAACCGAGACUCCGGAAGUAGUGGCGAGCGAACCCGGACCAGGCCAGUGGCGAUUGAGAGACAAGCGGAACCUUCUGGAAAGUAGGGCCAUAGUGGGUGACAGCCCCGUACGCGUAAUGCGAUCAAUCGUCCUCGAGUAAGGCGGGACACGUGAAAUCCUGUCUGAAAUUGGGAGGACCACCUUCCAAGCCUAAGUACUCGUGCAUGACCGAUAGC